UUUUUUUUUUAUACUUUAGGUUACUUUAUUAAAAACUUACAUUUAGGUGUAUUGCUUCAAUUUCUUUGGUCUGGAUAGGUGAUCUCUCUCCCUUCAUCAUCCUAUCAAAGCCACCCCACCUAGCUCUUGGAAAGAACUCCCACUUGCUUUUCCAUGUCCUUGCCUUUCACGGACGGUCUCACCAUACUUGACUGUAACCAGCAACUCUAUCGUAAUUUUGGAAAACAUAGGGUUCAUAUUCUUCCUGCUCAAGGAUUAUUCUUAGUCUUUAAUGACAGCUAUAUUCUCAACUUAAUAAAAUGUCUGUCAGUUGUAACAGGCAAAGCCGAUAUUACACACCAGGCAAAAAACAGGCUACUCCCCACGGCUCGGUUUUACAUUUCGGACCCUCACAUAAUCAGUUUGCAAAUUCUUCUCCCUAUUCCAGUGAACACAAGCAGAGAAUCAGGCAGCUUAGAGUAGGCAAUUUACAAUUUAGGUUUUCUGGAACAAACUGUCAAUAUUUAUUUAAAAAAAAACAAAAACAAACAAACAAAACUUACUGUAUUGGGUUGGCCAAAAAGUCCGUGCGGGUUCUCUCAGCUUACAGGAAAACUGAGUGAACUUUCUGGCCAACCCAAUAUGAGUAAAAGUUAGGUGACCUUGCAAAUGAUACAGUUCCUAAAGUUAUGAGCCACAGAUGCUGGACUUCUGGAACAACAGUUAAACUUCGGCAUCACAUCACUUCCUGUAUUAUUUCUGUUCAUGAUGUCUGUUCCUCUGAUUUACCUGGAAUCAAUGACUCUAAGCGGACAACACAGGACCGAGAACAACUCCAGCCCCUCCAACAACGCGAGCUCACCACCCAGGUACCGGCCAACCGCACUGCCGCGGCAACGCCGAGGCCGCCCUCCUGAUUAUUUUAAAUCCACGGUUGGUUGAGUUCCCAGAUGCAGAACCCAUGAAUAUGGAGGAUUGGUUGUACAGAGGUCCCCUUGAGACUCAGUUUGCUGAAUUCCAUUCUUCUGGACAUAUUCCU
ensembl:lncRNA